rnacentral:rRNA from 1 species
AGUUCGGAUCGCAGUCUGCAACUCGACUGCGUGAAGGUGGAGUCGCUAGUAAUCGCGGAUCAGCAACGCCGCGGNGAAUGCGUUCCCGGGCCUUGUACACACCGCCCGUCAAGUCAUGAAAGUGGGCAGCACCCGAAGACGGUGGCCUAACCCUUGUGGGGGGAGCCGUCUAAGGUGAGGCUCGUGAUUGGGACUAAGUCGUAACAAGGUACC